rnacentral:rRNA from 3 species
GGUUAAGCGACUAAGCGUACACGGUGGAUGCCCUGGCAGUCAGAGGCGAUGAAGGACGUGCUAAUCUGCGAUAAGCGUCGGUAAGGUGAUAUGAACCGUUAUAACCGGCGAUUUCCGAAUGGGGAAACCCAGUGUGUUUCGACACACUAUCAUUAACUGAAUCCAUAGGUUAAUGAGGCGAACCGGGGGAACUGAAACAUCUAAGUACCCCGAGGAAAAGAAAUCAACCGAGAUUCCCCCAGUAGCGGCGAGCGAACGGGGAGCAGCCCAGAGCCUGAAUCAGUGUGUGUGUUAGUGGAAGCGUCUGGAAAGGCGCGCGAUACAGGGUGACAGCCCCGUACACAAAAAUGCACAUGCUGUGAGCUCGAUGAGUAGGGCGGGACACGUGGUAUCCUGUCUGAAUAUGGGGGGACCAUCCUCCAAGGCUAAAUACUCCUGACUGACCGAUAGUGAACCAGUACCGUGAGGGAAAGGCGAAAAGAACCCCGGCGAGGGGAGUGAAAAAGAACCUGAAACCGUGUACGUACAAGCAGUGGGAGCACGCUUAGGCGUGUGACUGCGUACCUUUUGUAUAAUGGGUCAGCGACUUAUAUUCUGUAGCAAGGUUAACCGAAUAGGGGAGCCGAAGGGAAACCGAGUCUUAACUGGGCGUUAAGUUGCAGGGUAUAGACCCGAAACCCGGUGAUCUAGCCAUGGGCAGGUUGAAGGUUGGGUAACACUAACUGGAGGACCGAACCGACUAAUGUUGAAAAAUUAGCGGAUGACUUGUGGCUGGGGGUGAAAGGCCAAUCAAACCGGGAGAUAGCUGGUUCUCCCCGAAAGCUAUUUAGGUAGCGCCUCGUGAAUUCAUCUCCGGGGGUAGAGCACUGUUUCGGCAAGGGGGUCAUCCCGACUUACCAACCCGAUGCAAACUGCGAAUACCGGAGAAUGUUAUCACGGGAGACACACGGCGGGUGCUAACGUCCGUCGUGAAGAGGGAAACAACCCAGACCGCCAGCUAAGGUCCCAAAGUCAUGGUUAAGUGGGAAACGAUGUGGGAAGGCCCAGACAGCCAGGAUGUUGGCUUAGAAGCAGCCAUCAUUUAAAGAAAGCGUAAUAGCUCACUGGUCGAGUCGGCCUGCGCGGAAGAUGUAACGGGGCUAAACCAUGCACCGAAGCUGCGGCAGCGACGCUUAUGCGUUGUUGGGUAGGGGAGCGUUCUGUAAGCCUGUGAAGGUGUGCUGUGAGGCAUGCUGGAGGUAUCAGAAGUGCGAAUGCUGACAUAAGUAACGAUAAAGCGGGUGAAAAGCCCGCUCGCCGGAAGACCAAGGGUUCCUGUCCAACGUUAAUCGGGGCAGGGUGAGUCGACCCCUAAGGCGAGGCCGAAAGGCGUAGUCGAUGGGAAACAGGUUAAUAUUCCUGUACUUGGUGUUACUGCGAAGGGGGGACGGAGAAGGCUAUGUUGGCCGGGCGACGGUUGUCCCGGUUUAAGCGUGUAGGCUGGUUUUCCAGGCAAAUCCGGAAAAUCAAGGCUGAGGCGUGAUGACGAGGCACUACGGUGCUGAAGCAACAAAUGCCCUGCUUCCAGGAAAAGCCUCUAAGCAUCAGGUAACAUCAAAUCGUACCCCAAACCGACACAGGUGGUCAGGUAGAGAAUACCAAGGCGCUUGAGAGAACUCGGGUGAAGGAACUAGGCAAAAUGGUGCCGUAACUUCGGGAGAAGGCACGCUGAUAUGUAGGUGAAGUCCCUCGCGGAUGGAGCUGAAAUCAGUCGAAGAUACCAGCUGGCUGCAACUGUUUAUUAAAAACACAGCACUGUGCAAACACGAAAGUGGACGUAUACGGUGUGACGCCUGCCCGGUGCCGGAAGGUUAAUUGAUGGGGUUAGCCGCAAGGCGAAGCUCUUGAUCGAAGCCCCGGUAAACGGCGGCCGUAACUAUAACGGUCCUAAGGUAGCGAAAUUCCUUGUCGGGUAAGUUCCGACCUGCACGAAUGGCGUAAUGAUGGCCAGGCUGUCUCCACCCGAGACUCAGUGAAAUUGAACUCGCUGUGAAGAUGCAGUGUACCCGCGGCAAGACGGAAAGACCCCGUGAACCUUUACUAUAGCUUGACACUGAACAUUGAGCCUUGAUGUGUAGGAUAGGUGGGAGGCUUAGAAGUGUGGACGCCAGUCUGCAUGGAGCCGACCUUGAAAUACCACCCUUUAAUGUUUGAUGUUCUAACGUUGACCCGUAAUCCGGGUUGCGGACAGUGUCUGGUGGGUAGUUUGACUGGGGCGGUCUCCUCCUAAAGAGUAACGGAGGAGCACGAAGGUUGGCUAAUCCUGGUCGGACAUCAGGAGGUUAGUGCAAUGGCAUAAGCCAGCUUGACUGCGAGCGUGACGGCGCGAGCAGGUGCGAAAGCAGGUCAUAGUGAUCCGGUGGUUCUGAAUGGAAGGGCCAUCGCUCAACGGAUAAAAGGUACUCCGGGGAUAACAGGCUGAUACCGCCCAAGAGUUCAUAUCGACGGCGGUGUUUGGCACCUCGAUGUCGGCUCAUCACAUCCUGGGGCUGAAGUAGGUCCCAAGGGUAUGGCUGUUCGCCAUUUAAAGUGGUACGCGAGCUGGGUUUAGAACGUCGUGAGACAGUUCGGUCCCUAUCUGCCGUGGGCGCUGGAGAACUGAGGGGGGCUGCUCCUAGUACGAGAGGACCGGAGUGGACGCAUCACUGGUGUUCGGGUUGUCAUGCCAAUGGCACUGCCCGGUAGCUAAAUGCGGAAGAGAUAAGUGCUGAAAGCAUCUAAGCACGAAACUUGCCCCGAGAUGAGUUCUCCCUGACUCCUUGAGAGUCCUGAAGGAACGUUGAAGACGACGACGUUGAUAGGCCGGGUGUGUAAGCGCAGCGAUGCGUUGAGCUAACCGGUACUAAUGAACCGUGAGGCUUAACCUU